GCGUAGAAGCCCAGGGACCCGCCCUCGUCAUCCUGAAAACUCUCCCGGCAACGCCUCCUUAGUCGUCUCCAACCUCUUCCGCUGCCUGCGCUCACGGCACUUACCUCCACAGUCGGGAUCGGCGCAGUCAGCUGCUCCGGAGUCAGGCUCCCGAACUCCUCGGCUAGAACAUCCAUUCCAUUCACGGUAGAGGAAGAAGUCGGCAGAAUGUUCACAUCCGCCCGUGCGGCUCCAAGCAAGUAGCACGCGGAGAGUGGUGUGCGUUCUCCUCCGGUGUCCCCGUGGCGCUUGUUUACGGGGAGGCGUUUCAAAAGGUUCCGCCUGGUCAGGGCCUAACCUGCGGAGGAACCCGGAAGUGACCGAGCCGGAUGUGGAAAACUACACCCACUGGUGUACUUCCGAGGUCUCGCCGGGCUAAUCCUAGCCUCUUGACAGGCUCAUUUCCAAAGGAAACGUCAGAGGGACGGAGUUUGUUACCACUACACCGAAUAAACGAAGGAUUGCACAUAAUCCUCCCACGGCAGCACAGACACCUAUAAUCCCAGCAUUUAGAAGCUAGAGGUAGGAGGGCAUCCAGAAAUUCAAGGGCAUCCUUGGCUACCUAACAAGGUCGAGGCCAGCCUGGGCUACAUGAAACCCUGUCUCCAAAGAAAAGGUAAUGUAUUAAUAACAUUGAUUGGUGAAAGAUUUCAAGGAUGGCAACGGAGAAAGCAUAAGAAUUGCUAAAAGUUGUAUUCCAUUAAUUUUUAAAAAAUUAGAUACACCUAUAAAAAAUCUCUAUGAAUAGUAAACACACAGUUGGUAGAAGACAAAAGGAUUUGUCACUGAAAUUGGAAAUGAGUUCAUGCAAGUCCAAUGGUAAGAAAAAUCCCAUGGGAAGAAGAGGUAAAAGAUGCCAACAGUUUUUAAAUGAGUUUCAGUUUGGGAACAUACAAAAAUUGUGGAGAUGGAUGGUGUCACAUGAGUGUGUACAAUGCUCCUGGCCAUUUAAUAGUUGAACUAUUUAAUAGUUCACCUGUAUAAUUAGCACCAUCUAAUAAUAUGUGUUCUUUUUUUUUUUUAAACCUGGUCCAAGGUAAUCUGCGUACAGAGUUAGCUAGUUAAAUUUCAGUGCUUGUAUCUAAACGUUGUGCUGAUAGACUUCUGAAACUAAGUGAAGAAAGAAAGAAAAAAAUUACAGGCCACCAAGAUGGCUCAGUAUGUUAAGUCACCUGCCACAAAGCUUGAAAAGCCGCGUUCAGCCCCCAAGACCCACAUUGUAGAAGGAGAGAAGCAACUCUAAAGAGCUGUCCUCUGAUCCCCAUACUCACAUGUAAGACAAAUCAUUUAAAACUAAGAAUGAUCAGCCCCCCCCCCCCUUAAAUCCUUAAGAUUUACUCAGA